UUUUGAUUCGCCUAAAGGUAGGGCGUCAGUCUCGUAAACUGAAAGUCUGGGUUCGAUUCCCGGAUCAAGAA
rnacentral:tRNA from 1 species